CAGGGGCAGGCAGGGGCUCAGGGAGGGGCCACUGUGGGUCUCCCCCACCCUCAGACUGCACAACCCUGCCCAGUGACACAGUUCCACCCACUCUGCCCAGACAAAUCACCUCCUCACCACUGCUCCUUGCCAUCAGUUUUGGUGCAGUAACAGAGAAAGUCUUGUGAUCCAGGUAAAUCAGAGGGCAGACUAAAUGCAGCCUUCUUGCUCACACAUCCUUCCAGUCCUUGGGUCACUGCUCAGCCUCUCUCACCCCACUGGACCCCAGGUUUUCUGGGCUUUGAGAAAUCAUUCUGCUUAUUUUGGAUAAACAGUAUGUAUGUUCUUGCACUACAGAUUGGUUACUGCCAAAGAAGAUAUCUGUGCUUUGGGGAUCUCUUAAUCCCAGCAAUUUUUAGGGAACUCAUUAGAGACAGAUAGAUAAAAUUGUUUUUUAUCACUUUGCCUUUUACUUCCUACACCCUUAAAAGGCCUGAAAGUUUGAAACACUGCAGAUCUAUCAGCUGAGCCAGCCAGGACCUGCAGUAAAAUUCAUGGGCAAACAAUUACAGCACUAGAUACUUAAACUCUGGCCAAGGAGAUCCCUCAAAAUUAGGAAAGAAUGAGAUAGCAGGGAAUAGAGAGUUUGGAGCAAAAGGAGUACAUUUGUAGAGACAAGCAAAGAAAGUAUUACAUAAGAGAAGAAAGGCAUAGAGGAAAAACACAGAAAAUAGGGCAGGGAGAGAGGUGGGGGACAGAGGGACUCAGUGAGUGCCAGAGGGUUAUGGAUGCUCACCGUUUUCAUUCCAACUAUGGACUUCUCCACUUUGGUGACAUAAGUUACAUGGUCCUCAUUAGAUUUUAGCUCUUUCUGCUGGAUCCUCUCAUAGAUCCCCACCACCAGCUCCCGAGGGAUGUCAGCACCGUCGUCCACCCCUGCCAAAGACAGAAAAUGUUUUCAGGCCAGCCAGAGAGAAAAAAAAAAGGGAAGAACUAGUGGUCCCUGGCAGGUCACUACUGCCUCUGCACUGUGCAGUGCUGGGAAGUGAAGGGGAAUAGCAAUACUUCACUUUAAGCUGUCUCCUUUGCCUCUCUAAUGCAUCUAAUGCACCAGCAGGAGAGACUGACAUCUCUAAGGCCAAUGCAGUUGAUUUCAUUAUUCCAUUGCUCUGCAUGGUGGCUCCUUUCCAUGUGUUCCCUAAGGUUUUAUAGCCACAAUUUCACAUUCAUUUAUCUUGGGCCACUCAGCAGUAACCCCUGCAUUGAUUUUGUAUCAUCAGAAGUGCUAGAUGUGGAGAAGGUCUAUGAUGGGAUUCAGCAGCUCUUCCUGCCAAUGCAAGCAUCAUCUCUCCUUGUCUGCUUGGUGACCUCCACCAUUUUCCUUCUGUAUUGUCUCCUAGGAAUAAUGCUUUCCUGCUAUUCUGUUUGUGGUAUCUCUGCCUUGACCCUGCCCCUUUCCUCUUUUAUAUCUCCUUAGAUAAUUCUCCAGAUUUUGCUGUCUGACCCUUCUGAGCCCGGCAGAAAAGGUUUUUUCCACCCUUCCCUGAACACUGAAAACCAAGUUUCCAGUCCUUCCUCCAAACCGAAUUCCUCCAGUCAUUUUAUAUUGAUUUUCUCUGCAUUCCCUCCAGCUCCCUGGUCUGAGAUGAACAAUCCUGAGUGAUGCAGGUGAGGACCUGCUGAGAAAUGGAAAGGCACUGAGAUGUCCUGCUCCCUUACCAACAUCCUUGCAAAUGUAUCCCAAAUAACAUUUCCAACACAGGCUGCUGAAGCUGCAGCACCCCAGAAGGCAUCUCAAAGGGGCUUCCGUGUCUGGCUCACAGGCAAGCAGCAGAAGACCUGGAGAAAGACAGUUCCACUAGGUUUUUCCUGCCUUCAUCUAGGCAGAAUUUAGAAAAGCAAAAGGGCAAAAAAGAAAAAUCAAGGCAGAACCCUCACCUCUCAGAUUGCGAAUGAAGUCCUCCAGCAUCAUCUUCCUGUCAGGCUUGAUGUUGGGGCUGUACAUGUCUGUGUUGAGGAGGAUGAUUGCAAAGGCCAAGAUGAAGAUGGUGUCCGGGUUGUGAAACUGCUGGACCACAUCUGGGUUGCACAUGCAGUACCUCUGGCUGCAGCAGGAGGGAUGCACACACUUAGCAUGGAACAUGGGAGCCCUCUGCUCCAGUUUGGCAAUGCCUUUACCACAGGGAGACCACAUUCCUUUCACUCCACCUCUCACACAAGAGAGAAGGAACCCACUGCACUCUGAAGGCAAAUUUCCCCACCAGUGGCUGAAGUAGGCCACUGAAACUUCAGCCUUCUUGUCCUCAGGAGCCAAAAAAGCAAGUGAGGCUGGAGUGCACUACUCAGAGUGUGUCAGCACACAAGUGAAAUACAGGAGGUGUCUGCUCCAGCCUGCCUUGCCAAGCACUCCUCUGGAUGCACCAAAGGAGAGCCAAGCAGCCCUGCAAGCCCCUCUGCUUCUCUUCCUGUGAGCCACCAAUGAACAGGGAAUCCCUUGCUGGAAGCCAUAGCAGGACUGGCCUUACUCUGGCCCCUGGUGCCCUUCAUGCCACUGAACCUGACAAGGCCACAGCUGUGACACAGCAGUGGACUCCAUCCUUCAGGAGCCCCUCCACGAUCCCCUCUCAGGAAGAGAUAUCUGUGGGCAUUCUCCCCAUGCCUGCUGGCUUUUUGCCUUGGGUGUGCUGAGUUCCCUGCUUGCCCUGGUCGCAGCAGUGGGGCUGCAGGGCUCCUGCUCUUACCUGAAAGCCUCGAUCAGCCGCUCCACCUUCUGCGCCUCGCCCUGCACACGGAUGUGGGCCUGGAACUUCCGCAGGGCUUCGUCCAGCUCCAUGCCUGAGAAGUCCAUCUCGUCCACCACACAGCUGUGAGAGGGGGACACAGCCUUCAGCAGAACAUCCUCCCGUGCAUGACACCAGGCAGGCUCCUCCACUGUGGCACUGAGGCCCAGUCCCCAAGGGAAAUCCCACAGGAGAGGCCCUGAGACACCACUAUGGCUUCCUGCAUCCUGCUUACCAUGGGCAGUGACCUCACUCAAGUGAUUCCUGCAUUCUACAGCUGAUGUUCCUACAUGACUUUUAUGACCCACAACGAUCCUAGUCAGUUACAAAUAGAUUCCAUCUGCUGUGAAAAACAUCUCUCAUGUUCCAGGAGCAGGGAGAGGGUUAACCUGUGGAAGAAGUUGACCCGUUCCCACCUGAAGAGGUUGUGUGUUAAUUGUUAUCAGGACAAAGCAGCUCUCAUCUGGGUGGAAAAGGCAAGUGUCCCAGAGCCUCACUGCCACUUGUAAGCCUCAAGGAAGUGCUCCAGGAAAGCAACUGUCUUCCUAAUUCAGUGCCUUAUUCCAGCUGACUUGUGCCUUGUGGGGACUCUUCACUUGCUAAGCAUUUCACAUAAAACCCCACAACUGUUCUCUACUUAAUGAAGCUUGGAACUUCACACCAUGUGUUGGAACCCUUUGUAUUUGGAGGAAAAAAUUACCUCUAAGAUGUCGUUCUGCAAACAUAAACAUAAGAGAUUUUCCUAUUUUGCAAGAGCCUGAUUUCUUCAGAGAUAUUUCAGGUAAGUUUCAUAAAUAAUUACUAGAAUUCAGAGUGAGAAGCUGUGGGACUGAUUAUGCUUCUGCUCCUGAAACAAGAUGGCUGAUGCAGACUUUUUGAACUUUGCGGUACUUACAGCUGGGCAAUCUCUAACAACUGAGAUUUAACAAGUUUGCUUCAGUACCCUGGUGCCAGCAGGGCUGUAGCACAAGCUGACACCAUGAGGCUCAGCAUAAGCUGGCAGUGCUAUUUGUGCUUUCACACUUCAGCUGUGAAGCUACAUCAGUGAAGGUUCCAGACCCUGCAUGCUGGGAUGUGAUGGCAUUUCCCAUCUUGAGAAAAGGCAACAGCAGUGGCUGUAUCUGCAUCUGUGGUUACUUUAGCACUUGGAGCUGCUGAACUCUUGGUUCUUGUGGUGAACACAUUCUGCCUAGACUCUAGUUUAGCCAUGGAACCUGUGUGAUGCGGCAAAUUCCAGUUUUGGCAGCAGCUGUGCGGCGCAAAAAGCGUGUGGUGCACGAAGAGAUACAACAGCUGUACAAAAGAGACAGUGAAGCUUCUCACAUGAAAAAGAACCUCAUCAAAAUAAGUUUUUUAAUAAAAAACAAACUUCUUGGCCAUCUGGGAACA